rnacentral:rRNA from 1 species
CCUGACGACCAUACCGAAGUGGUACCACUCCUUCCCAUUCCGAACAGGACAGUGAAACGCUUAAGGGCCGAUGAGAGUUGGUUGUAUUUCCAGUGAAAGUAGGACAUUGUCAGGC